GAUGAACGCUGGCGGCGUGCCUAAUACAUGCAAGUCGAGCGAACAGACGAGGAGCUUGCUCCUCUGACGUUAGCGGCGGACGGGUGAGUAACACGUGGAUAACCUACCUAUAAGACUGGGAUAACUUCGGGAAACCGGAGCUAAUACCGGAGAAUAUAUUGAACCGCAUGGUUCAAUAGUGAAAGACGGUUUUGCUGUCACUUAUAGAUGGAUCCGCGCCGCAUUAGCUAGUUGGUAAGGUAACGGCUUACCAAGGCAACGAUGCGUAGCCGACCUGAGAGGGUGAUCGGCCACACUGGAACGGAGACACGGUCCAGAGUCCUACGGGAGGCAGCAGUAGGGAAUCUUCCGGAAUGGGCGAAAGCUUGAGGGAGCAGCGCGGAGUGAUGGAUGAAGGUCUUCGGAUCGUAAAACUCUGCUAUUAGGGAAGAACAAAUGUGUACGUAAGUAUGCGCGUCUUGACGGUACCUAAGCAGAAAGCCACGGCUAACUACGUG
rnacentral:rRNA from 1 species